rnacentral:rRNA from 1 species
CCUACGGGAGGCAGCAGUAAGGAAUAUUGGUCAAUGGACGAAAGUCUGAACCAGCCAUGCCGCGUGAAGGAUUAAGGCCCUCUGGGUUGUAAACUUCUUUUAUCUGGGACGAAAAAAGGGUAUUCUUACUCACUUGACGGUACCAGAGGAAUAAGCACCGGCUAACUCCGUGCCAGCAGCCGCGGUAAUACGGAGGGUGCAAGCGUUAUCCGGAUUUACUGGGUUUAAAGGGUGCGUAGGUGGGCUUGUAAGUCAGUGGUGAAAUCUCCGGGCUUAACCCGGAAACUGCCAUUGAUACUAUAGGUCUUGAAUUAUCUGGAGGUAAGCGGAAUAUGUCAUGUAGCGGUGAAAUGCUUAGAUAUGACAUAGAACACCAAUUGCGAAGGCAGCUUACUACGGAUAUAUUGACACUGAGGCACGAAAGCGUGGGGAUCAAACAGGAUUAGAUACCCUGGUAGUCCACGCCCUAAACGAUGGAUACUCGACAUCAGCGAUACACUGUUGGUGUCUGAGCGAAAAGCAUUAAGUAUCCCACCUGGAAGUACGAUCGCAAGAUUGAAACUCAAAAUGAGUAGAGNGUGAGAGAGCGAGACGACACGAGGAGGAGG